rnacentral:rRNA from 1 species
UACGGGGGGAGCAAGCGUUGUUCGGAUUUACUGGGCGUAAAGGGCGCGUAGGCGGCCGGGUUGGUCGUGGGUGAAAUCCCCCAGCUUAACUGGGGAACUGCCUACGAUACUGCCUGGCUCGAGGGAGGAAGGGGCGGUCGGAACUGUCGGUGGAGCGGUGAAAUGCGUUGAUAUCGACAGGAACGCCGGUGGCGAAAGCGGACCGCUGGCCCUCUUCUGACGCUGAGGCGCGAAAGCCAGGGGAGCGAACGGG